rnacentral:rRNA from 1 species
AGAGUUUGAUCCUGGCUCAGCCUGAACGCUGGCGGCGUGGCUAAGACAUGCAAGUCGCACGGGCGUAGCAAUACGCCAGUGGCGCACGGGUGAGUAAUGUAUCGCUAAUGUACCCUUGGACCUGGGAUAGCCAUCCGAAAGGGUGGGUAAUACCAGAUGAAAUAUCCUGGAGGCAUCUUCGGGAUCUCAAAGCAGCAAUG